CAAUAGCGUAUAUUAAAGCUGUUGCGGUUAAAAAGCUCGUAGUUGGAUUUCUGUCAAGGACAACUGGUCCGCCCUCCGGGUGAGCACAUAGUUUGGUCUUGGCAUCUUGCUGGAAACUGUUGCUGCGCUUGGUUGUGUGGUGCAGCUUUCAGCACUUUCACUUUGAGGAAAUUGGAGUGUUUCAAGCAGGCACAUGCCUUUGGACACAGUAGCAUGGAAUAAUUAGAUCGGGCUUUUGCUCCAACUUGUUGGUUCCUGGAGCUGAGGUGAGAAUCAAUGGGGAUUGUUGGGGGCAUCCGAAUUUAGCCGUCAGAGGUGAAAUUCUUGGAUCUGCUAAAGACGGACAACUGCGAAAGCGUUUGCCCAGGAUGUUUUCAUUGA
rnacentral:rRNA from 1 species